UGAACUCAAAGCCAAACUGAAUUUUCUAGUAAUAUCCACUUGAGAAAAGAGGGAAAAAAUACUUCGAAAUUCCCUGGGAAUCGCAAACCUGGGUUUUCAUCAUUCUCACUCCUCCAUAGCAUCACCUCCUUCGAUUAUCUCCACCUUUUCCUUCAAUGGCAUAAUCUUUGUCAGCAGAACCUCCGUUUUCUUGGGGAAGGAAUAACCUUUCGAACUAACGUAUGUUCGAGGAUUCGGCAAGAGGUGAUUUCUCAGAUAAUCCUUUUGGCCCUUGGUAAUAACACAAACAUCGACGUUACUUCCACUCCCCAAAUCAUUAAAUAUCCCAGAACAUAUCGCCUCAGUUACAAGACGAAUCCCUUCAUCCCUAGUCAGGCCUUCUUUGUACUUUGAUUCAAAUACAGACAUUGCAGCUAGGGAACCCGAUCCCAUUGUAGCAAAUGGCAAGGUGUCAGUGGAUCCAUGAGGAUAGAUAGUAUGUAAAUGAGGUCCAGUGACAUCAACCCCACCAAGCACCAAAGCGGCUGAAACAUAACCUCGAUAACCAAAAAGGUGUUUCUUGAGAAGGGUCAGCGCAGUAACAACUCUUGAUUCUCGACCAGUGUGGUAGCGAUGCAAUUGCAAUUGGGAGCUAACCAUAUCAGUUACUGCCUCUGUAUCAGCAGCAGUUCCUGCUCCACAACAAUAUAUGUUUGGUGCCAUGUAAUGAAUUUUCUCACAG
rnacentral:misc_RNA from 1 species